GCUGAAGAACGUAGCGAAAUGCGAUAAUUAAUGUGAAUUGCAGAAUUCCGUGAAUCAUCGAGUCUUUGAACGCACAUUGCGCCUCAUGGCAUUCCGUGAGGCAUGCCCAUCUCAGCGUUAGAAAAUAUUCUCAAAUUUUAGUUUUGUGCUAAAAUUUGGAUCAUGUCAAGGAAGCUAUUACUAUUAUUGUGAUCGCUCUUUGGAAAUUGAUAGGUCUUUGAGUUGCUACUCAUAGAACGUGAUGAAUCUUUCUUCGUUCUAUUGUAAUUCACUCUGGUAGUCCUAAAACUUGUAUGCCUGUGGCAUAUCUUGUAAUUUGACCUGAGAUUGGGUAGGGAUACCCGCUGAACUUAAGCAUAUCAAUAAGCGGAGGA
rnacentral:misc_RNA from 1 species